rnacentral:rRNA from 1 species
UACGUAGGGACCAAGCGUUGUUCGGAUUUACUGGGCGUAAAGGGCGCGUAGGCGGCAAUUCAAGUCAUCUGUGAAAUCGUCCGGGCUUAACUCGGAACGGUCAGAUGAUACUGCUUUGCUAGAGUGCGGAAGGGGCAAUCGGAAUUCUUGGUGUAGCGGUGAAAUGGCGUAGAUAUCAAGAGGAACACCUGAGGUGAAGACGGGUUGCUGGGCCGACACUGACGCUGAAGCGCGAAAGCCAGGGGAGCAAACGGG